CUGCUGCCUCCCGUAGGAGUCUGGUCCGUGUCUCAGUACCAGUGUGGGGGACCUUCCUCUCAGAACCCCUACGCAUCGUCGGUUAGGUGGGCCGUUACCCCGCCUACUGCCUAAUGCGCCGCAUGCCCAUCCCUGUCCGGCCGAAGCCUUUCCUGCCUCCGGGAUGCCCCGGUGGCAUGUACGCGGAUUUAGCCCGCCUUUCGGCGGGUUGUCCCCCUGACAGGGGCAGGUUGCAUACGUGUUACUCACCCGUGCGCCGGUCGCCGGCGGAAG
rnacentral:rRNA from 1 species